rfam:Trichobilharzia regenti genome assembly, scaffold: TRE_scaffold0003275
AUCCAGAUGAUGAGUCCCAAAUAGGAAAAAAUGCGCAUCCUGGAU